UACGUAGGCAGCGAGCGUUGUUCGGAGUUACUGGGCGUAAAGGGUGUGUAGGCGGUUUUCUAAGUUUGGUGUGAAAUCUCCCGGCUCAACUGGGAGGGUGCGCCGGAUACUGAGGGGCUAGAGUGUGGGAGAGGAAAGUGGAAUUCCUGGUGUAGCGGUGAAAUGCGUAGAUAUCAGGAGGAACACCGGUGGUGUAAACGGCUUUCUGGACCAUAACUGACGCUGAGGCACGAAAGCGUGGGGAGCAAACAGG
rnacentral:rRNA from 1 species